rnacentral:snRNA from 1 species
GUGCUCACUUCGGCAGCACAUAUACUAAAAUCGGAAUGAUACAGAGAAGAUCGGCAUGGCCCCUGCGCAAGGAUGACAUGCAAAUUCGUGAAGUGUUCCAUAUUUCU